GUGCUUCUUCCGCUCUGGGAAAUCAAAGAUGAUGAUAUUUAGGAAAGGAGGCGGUAGAAGGAAAAACAUAGAUUGGAGAUGGAAAGGGAAAAGGAUAGAGGAGGUGAAAGAGUUCAGCUAUCUAGGGUAUAGAGUGAAGUGCAAUGGGGGACAGGAAGCACAGGUGAAAGAGAGAGUACGGAAGGCAGGGGUAGUAAUGAGGCAGGUAUGGGGAAUAGGAAAAAGAAGGUUUGGGAGGGAUUGGGAAAAAAGGAUUUGGUUAUUUGACAGGCUAGUAUGGACGGUAAUAGAGCAUGCAUCGGAGAUAUGGGGGUGGAGGGAGUGGAGGGCGGUCAAGGCGGUACAGGAUAGAUUUCUGAGAUGGACAUUAGGAGUGGAUGGGGGAACACCGGGAUAUCUAGUAAGGGAGGAACUACAGAGGGAGAAGCUAAGGAUUAGGGCAGGGAGAAGGGCAUGGAAUUUUGAAAGGAAGCUGGAGAGAGGGGAGGGUAGCGAGUUAGCUAGGAGAUGCUGGGAAGAGAUAAGGGACAAGAAAGAAGCUGGGAGGCAGGGAUCGAGGUGGGAAAGAGAAAGGGAAAGUUUCUUUGCGGAAAGGGGAGCAGAGAGUAGAGAGGUAGUCGCGAGAAGGGAGAGGGGCGAGAUGGAGUUAAGGGAAAUAGAG